AGCGAACGCUGGCGGCAGGCCUAACACAUGCAAGUCGAACGAACCCUUCGGGGUUAGUGGCGGGCGGGUGAGUAACACGUGGGAACGUGCCUUUAGGUUCGGAAUAACUCAGGGCAACUUGUGCUAAUACCGAAUGUGCCCUUCGGGGGACAGAAUUAUCGCCUUUAGAGCGGCCCGCGUCUGAUUGGCUAGGUGGUGAGGUAAUGGCUCACCAAGGCUACGAUCAGUAGCUGGUCUGAGAGGAUGACCAGCCACAUUGGGGCUGAGACACGGCCCAAACUCCUACGGGAGGCAGCAGUGGGGAAUCUUGCGCAAUGGGCGAAAGCCUGCCGCAGCCAUGCCGCGUGGAUGAUGAAGGUCUUAGGAUUGUAAAAUCCUUUCACCGGUGAAGAUAAUGACUGUAGCCGGAGAAGAAGCCCCGGCUAACUUCGUGCCAGCCGCCGCGGUAAGAC
rnacentral:rRNA from 1 species